rnacentral:rRNA from 1 species
UACGUAGGGUCCGAGCGUUAAUCGGAAUUACUGGGCGUAAAGCGCGCGUAGGCGGCUUUGCAAGUCGGGUGUGAAAUCCCCAGGCUUAACCUGGGAACUGCAUUCGAGACUGCAUUGCUAGAGUAUGGGAGAGGGAAGUGGAAUUUCCGGUGUAGCGGUGAAAUGCGUAGAUAUCGGAAGGAACAUCAGUGGCGAAAGCGACUUCCUGGACCAAUACUGACGCUCAUGUGCGAAAGCGUGGGGAGCAAACAGG